rnacentral:rRNA from 1 species
AUGCUCAACAGGAGGAGCCGGGGUCGCAGCUGCACCACACGACAGUGGGCAAGGGCGAGCUCUAGCGCGAGCAUGCGGAGAGCUAUCCACUGGAUCCGGCCGGCCCAGAUCCACACGGCUCCGUCAACGACACGCACGGGGACCCUGCCGACGUACUCUCUUCUUGACGAACAGAAGGGGACGAAUCAGGACGGAUCCACGCUGUCGACGCCUCUUCUUUUCUCCCAUGGACGAGCCCUCGCCCAGCGACCACCUCCACUCAGCUGUUGGGAGGCGAAAAUGGCAAGGGCGGCAGGAGAAAUCCCUCCUCCUUGUGUUGCUGCAUCACUGCAUCCCCCGAUAUUUCAGGAGUAG